rnacentral:misc_RNA from 1 species
GGUCUGCUCCUCUCAAACGAAUCAGCUUGCCGGUGUUUGGCGGCAACCGUGGGUGUGAUAACUAUCUACGCUCGUGGUUUUCUGCCAGGUAACCUUCGGUGACGGAGGUUCGCCAGAGCUUAUAAACGUCCCUCCCGAGCGAGGACAAGGUUCUUCGAACGUUCGAUCUCAAAUCAGGUAGGAAUACCCGCUGAACUUAA